CUCAGUUGAUAUCAGUCUCGCACAUGAGUGCAAAGGUUGACAAAUAUGCAAUGUGAGUUCUAUAAAAGUGUUAUCUUCAUCCUCAAAUCCUUCAAAUAAUGCCAUUCACAUGAAGUGGAGAACAAAGCCUCACCAGAGGGACUUGAAGAAUCUGAAACCUAAAGAAUUUUUUUUAUUGGUGCUAACUAAAGGGUCAAUUUGGGACUAAAUAAGUGUUUCGUUUUAUUGUAUGAUUUUAUAGUGCCUAAUGACUACAAGUUUUUUUUUUUUCUCUUGACCUUUCUUU
rnacentral:lncRNA from 1 species